AUACGGAGGAUCCGAGCGUUAUCCGGAUUUAUUGGGUUUAAAGGGAGCGUAGGUGGACAGUUAAGUCAGUUGUGAAAGUUUGCGGCUCAACCGUAAAAUUGCAGUUGAUACUGGCUGUCUUGAGUACAGUAGAGGUGGGCGGAAUUCGUGGUGUAGCGGUGGAAUGCUUAGAUAUCACGAAGAACUCCGAUUGCGAAGGCAGCUCACUGGACUGCAACUGACACUGAUGCUCGAAAGUGUGGGUAUCAAACAGGAUUAGAUACCCUGGUAGUCCACACAGUAAACGAUGAAUACUCGCUGUUUGCGAUAUACAGUAAGCGGCCAAGCGAAAGCAUUAAGUAUUCCACCUGGGGAGUACGCCGGCAACGGUGAAACUUAAAGGAAUUGACGGGG
rnacentral:rRNA from 1 species